UGGGGCAGCAAAGCUCGGGUCCCUGCUCCAGCUGCUCUGAUUGGCUGAGGAGAUUGUCAAGCAAGGAAACGAAUCCCUCACCUGCUACAGGAUGGUGGCACAAGCCUGUAAUUCCAGCAAUUCAGAAGGAUGAGGCAGGAAGAUCUCAAGUUCCAGGGCACCCAGAAUAAUUUGGUGAGUCUCAAAAUG
rnacentral:lncRNA from 1 species